UAAGCCCCGCCCCCCUCCAUCCUUAUAUACACUGGACUGUCACUCCAGGAGCACACACACACCAGCAGCCAUGGAUCAAUUCAUCCCCAAGAUGGUCGGAGACAAAGUGGAGGACUUUGUGGAGGACGCCAUGAACAAGUGCAUGGGUAAAGAUGGGAAGAAGGAUGAGAAGGAAGGAGGGGUGGAGACGGUGAUGGGAGACGCCCUCUCAUUGGUCUGUGGGAAGGACGACGACAAGAAGGAGGGAGGAGCGUCAGGUGUCAUGAACACCAUCGGCGGCCUCUUUAAAUAGAGACCCUGCAGACCACAUCCUGAACCAGAUCCAGUCCUCCACACCUCCGCCUGCUGACUGCUGGAGAACCAACGCUUUCAAUGUUUACGAAGGAUUUGAAAAUUAAAUGAUUAAAUAAAGCUC